rnacentral:rRNA from 1 species
UACGGGGGGAGCAAGCGUUGUUCGGAUUUACUGGGCGUAAAGGGCGCGUAGGCGGCCAGUGCAAGUCAGUUGUGAAAUCUCCGAGCUUAACUCGGAAAGGUCAACUGAUACUGCUCGGCUAGAGUGCGGAAGGGGCAACUGGAAUUCUUGGUGUAGCGGUGAAAUGCGUAGAUAUCAAGAGGAACACCUGCGGCGAAGGCGGGUUGCUGGGCCGACACUGACGCUGAAGCGCGAAAGCUAGGGGAGCAAACAGG